rnacentral:misc_RNA from 1 species
GAACUUCUGACAACUGUUCUGUCCACGCCCCCCAGAAAGAAAGCAGCACCAGAAAGGUAGUAACUAAAAAAGAAGGCGUUGAAGUCCGCCGGAAAUGGUCGUCAGCGGCGGCCGGAGGUGGGCCUAAAACUAGAGUCUUAAACUUGAAUGUCCCUAUGUGCAUUGGUUACAGGAAUCAGUUAGGUUGCAGAAGUGAUCAAAAUAGUGCCAUCCAUAUCGCCGCCGCCACCGGAGUCGGUGAUGAUCAGAAUGGUAGCAGCACAGUCACCGGUGAAGGGGUACGUGGCAGUAACUUAUUUAAUCUCAAAAGCCUAUUUACUAAAAAAGUAUAUUAAAUUAAAUAGUGGCAAAUCCAAAGUAAUUACACACUUUUUGAGUUAUAUGUUAGUGUAUCUAUCAUUAUCCUUUUCUAUAUUCUCCU